rnacentral:rRNA from 1 species
UACAGAGACUGCAAGCGUUAUUCGGAUUCACUGGGCGUAAAGGGUGCGCAGGCGGCCGAGUGUGUGAGGCGUGAAAGCCCGGGGCUUAACCCCGGAAUUGCACCUCAAACUACACGGCUAGAGCAUUGGAGAGGGUAGCAGAAUUCAUGGUGUAGCAGUGAAAUGCGUAGAUAUCAUGAGGAACACCAGUGGCGAAGGCGGCUUCCUGGUCUGCAACUGACGCUGUGGCGCGAAAGCUAGGGGAGCAAACGGG